rnacentral:rRNA from 1 species
GGGGGAUAUUGCGCAAUGGGGGAAACCCUGACGCAGCAACGCCGCGUGAAGGAUGAAGGUCUUCGGAUUGUAAACUUCUUUUAUUAAGGACGAAUAAAGUGACGGUACUUAAUGAAUAAGCUCCGGCUAACUACGUGCCAGCAGCCGCGGUAAUACGUAGGGAGCAAGCGUUGUCCGGAUUUACUGGGUGUAAAGGGUGCGUAGGCGGCUUUGCAAGUCAGAUGUGAAAUCUAUGGGCUCAACCCAUAGCCUGCAUUUGAAACUGCAGAGCUUGAGUGAAGUAGAGGCAGGCGGAAUUCCCCGUGUAGCGGUGAAAUGCGUAGAGAUGGGGAGGAACACCAGUGGCGAAGGCGGCCUGCUGGGCUUUAACUGACGCUGAGGCACGAAAGCGUGGGUAGCAAACAGGAUUAGAUACCCUGGUAGUCCACGCUGUAAACGAUGAUUACUAGGUGUGGGGGGUCUGACCCCUUCCGUGCCGGAGUUAACACAAUAAGUAAUCCACCUGGGGAGUACGGCCGCAAGGUUGAAACUCAAAGGAAUUGACGGGGGCCCGCACAAGCAGUGGAGUAUGUGGUUUAAUUCGAAGCAACGCGAAGAACCUUACCAGGUCUUGACAUCCUACUAACGAGAUAGAGAUAUGUUAGGUGCCCUUCGGGGAAAGUAAAGACAGGUGGUGCAUGGUUGUCGUCAGCUCGUGUCGUGAGAUGUUGGGUUAAGUCCCGCAACGAGCGCAACCCUUGCUAUUAGUUGCUACGCAAGAGCACUCUAUUAGGACUGCCGUUGACAAAACGGAGGAAGGUGGGG